rnacentral:rRNA from 1 species
CAUAGCGACUAUCGUGGCAUAUCAAUAAGCGGAGGAAAAGAAACUAACAAGGAUUCCCCUAGUAACGGCGAGUGAAGCGGGAAGAGCUCAAAUUUGAAAUCUUCAAGGGUUUCCCUUGACGAAUUGUAGUUUAAAGAAGUGUUUUCUGUUAGAGAGGUGGUAAAAGUUCUUUGGAAUAGGACAUCAUAGAGGGUGAGAAUCCCGUAUUUGAUCACUUUCUACUAACGUUGUGAUACACUUUCAAAGAGUCGGAUUGUUUGGGAAUGCAGUCCAAAAUGGGUGGUAAAUUUCAUCUAAAGCUAAAUAUCGGCGAGAGACCGAUAGCGAACAAGUACCGUGAGGGAAAGAUGAAAAGAACUUUGAAAAGAGAGUUAAACAGUACGUGAAAUUGUCAAAAGGGAAGCGUUUGACACCAGUGUUGUUUAGUUGAAAAUCAAUUCAAUAAUUUUUGAUUUUAAGUAGUAUUGACUUCAUCAGCUUGCUGCUUUCUUUUCUGAAAUUAUUUAAUGCACUUUUCAGUUAACAAGUCAACAUCAAUUUCUUUUGUUGUAAAAGGGUAAGAGGAAGGUGGCUUACGCUUCGGCGUAAGUGUUUAUAGCCUUUUACCUCUGCAAUCGGAGAGAUUGAGGACAGCAGCGUAGACUCCUUCGGGGGUUAGAUACACUUGUGCUAAGCUAUAGCCUUGUAUAGACAACUUGUUGACUAUGCUCAGUCAUGUAGCUUACUCGCUUAUGCUAUUUUACCUACGCUUAGGAUGUUGACGAGACUGUCGAUCUC